AUACCAAGGUCCAGGAAGAACAAGAAAAAAGGCAGGAAUCAUUUGUGGAAAAUGGAGAAGUCAAGAAGACGAGAGACACAUGGAAUGGUUGCCCUUGAUUACUCAGGCCCGGCUCAGAAGGGAGACAAUGAAUUUGUAAUGGCAGAAGGAAAACCUUCCCACUUUGUGUAACUAUUUAUUCCAAGUGAUGAGUCUAUGAAGCAAGGUGUUCUCUUUGUACAAUUAUCUGGACCCACUGGUGCAUGUGAAGGCGGAAUACCUUUGUUGUGGGGAAGAGCUGCUCUGACAGAGGAAUGGCUUUCCUUGAGAAAACGGCUCACUGCUGAAGAAGCCUCUAUUAUGAAGAGGCUUCUUGUUAAAAUAAUUAUUUGCUUCAGUGCAGGUUGAUGACAAAUAAUAAUAUAAGGUACAGAUCAAAGAAUCCAAAUAUUAGAACAUGGGCUACAGAAGAUCCAUCUCCAAGCUUCCCAACUUUCUUUUCCAGAGAUUCGGGAACAAGAUAGAAGACCAUGCCUAUGCCUCGUCCCACUGAUCAUCAAGUUGAAACAGUGGAGCAAUUGAAAAGAAAACUAAAAUGAAAAUUUAAAAAUUUACAAAGUAUCAGUUAUGAAAGUGACCUUUAAGAGAAGAUUGAAAAUUAGGCCAUUUACACUCAGCAUAACCAAAACUAGACAAGACCCCUGCAUGAAUUUCUAGAGUCAUCUCUAUAAAUUAUGAUGUGUAAUGAAUAUCGUCAACAGGACGAUAAUCUAUUUGAUGUUGAUGUUGAGGCUUCUCACUGGAAUGGUCGUCUACUUGCCUGUAUGGUGUAUUAUGGUCCUUCCACCCUUGGAUACUUGGAGUCUUGCUCUACCUCCUGAAUUUAGCCUUGCGUGUCAUUUUGACAGGCGGGAUAUUAGGAAAAGUGAGAAUGGUGGAAACUUUAAAAUCACAAGUGUUUUGGUUUUCCCAUUUCUUGGUACUCUUGGGAUUCCUGUUAACACCGUUAUGUGAAGAGGCCAUGGACAGACUGCUGGCUCCUAAGAGACAGGUGACCUUUUCCCUCUAGUCACAUAAGCUGAAAAUCACCCGCUGAAUUGUGAGCUACGUAUGUGAUUGUUUUAAGUCACAAAGCUUCUGGGUGUUUGUUACAUAGCAACACUUUCUGAUAUAAGACGUGAGUUUAAAACUGUAACAACCUCCUUUUGAAUGGGCAAUUUCCCAUUUAUUUAAUGACCUACCUUCAUGCUACACUCAUCCAAUAUUAAUAGGGCUACCUUCCUUUAUUUUG
rnacentral:lncRNA from 1 species